GACUCUAACAAGACCUAACCAGCAAUAAGACCUCGACCAGGACACAAACUCAACACCGUGGACUCUGAAACUGAAAUAUGCACAGGCUAUGGCGCGGAAGGAUUGUAGGACAGGAAAACGAUAUGGCACUAGACAUAUGGGACGAACACAAGAACAAUCGAAACUAAGGAUAGAUGUGAACCUAAUGGUAUACCUGAAGUUUUGAUUACCACUUGAUGAGAAAAAGGGUGGCCCAAUCUUCUGAAAGGUUCUGGUAACUCUCGAUUUGGUGGAGACGAGACACAAAUCGAUCCGGCUUCCGAACAACACGAUCCGAAUCCCUACUUUUUUUAUUUUUUUUGUUAUUUUUGUUUUACUUAGGAGCAUUAAAGAAGAAACCACAAAAAAUUUGAGCUUAAACAAGUGAAAGCCGUUGCUUGCGGAAUUUUCUAAAGAUUGAGAGAAUUGUGAAAAAAAUAUCACGAGGUGAAAACUCAAAGGUCGGAGGCAAAUUUGGAGAUUCUAAAAUUGUCAAACCCGCCAAACGAGGAGACAGAUAGAUCCGAAAUUAUUUUCUGAUCGAUUUUGACAUAUGGAAUGUUGAAAUCUGAGUUCGUGUGUGAAAGUUAUGGCUGUUUUGCAAACGAUCUCCGAAUUAGAGGACAAAACGGUCCGAAAGUGGAAAAAAUUUGUGGCGGUGGCUAGAAAUUGAUGGAAACAGUGGGAAAAUACAAACGAACUAGACUCUAACAAGACCUAACCAGCAACAAAACCUCGACUAGGACACAAACUCAACACUGUGGACUCUGAAACUGAAAUAUGCAAAGGCUAUAGCGCGGAAGGGGUGUAGGAUAGGAAAACGAUAUGGCACUGGACUUAUGAGACGAACACAAGAACACUCGAAACUAGGGGUAGAUUUCAACCUAACCGUAUACCUCAAGCUUUGAUUACCACUUGAUGAGAACAAGGGUGGCCCGAUCUUCCGAAAGGUUCUGGUAACUCUCGAUUUGGUGGAGACGAGACACAAAUCGAUCCGGCUUCCGAACAACACGAUCCAAAACCCUACAAUUUUUUUUAUUUUUUUCAUAUUUUUCUUUUACUUAGGAGCACUAAAAAAGUAACCAUAGAAAAUUUGAGCUUAAACAAGUGAAAGACGUUGCCUGCAGAAUUUUCUGAUGAUUGCGAAAAAUGUGAAAAAAACUUCACGAGGUGAAAACUCAAAGGUCGGAGGCAAAUUUGGAGAUUCUAAAAUUUUCAAACCCGCCAAUGGCUUGGAGAGACAGAUCCAAAGUUUUUUCUGAUCGAUUUUGAUAUAUGGAACAUUGAAAUCGGAGUUCGUAUGCGAAAGCUAUGACUGUUUUACGAACGGACUCUAAAUUAGAGGACAAAAUGGUCCAAAAGUGGGAAAAAAUUGCAGCGGUGGCUAGAAAUUGGUGGAAAUGGUGGAGAAAAACACACGAACUGGACUCUAAUAAGACCUAACCAGCAAUAAGACCUCGACUAGGACACAAACUCAACACUGCGGACUCUGAAACUGAAAUAUGCAAAGGCUAUGGCGCGGAAGGGUUGUAGGACAGGAAAACGAUAUGACACUAGACUUAUGGGACGAACACAAGAACACUCGAAACUAAGGGUAGAUGUGAACUUAACGGUAUACCUGAAGCUUUGAUUACCACUUGAUUCGAACAAGGGUGGCCCAAUCUUCCAAAAGGUUCUGGUAACUCUCGAUUUGGUGGAGACGAGACAUAAAUCGAUGCGGCUUCCAAACAACACAAUCCGAAUCCCCGCUAUUUUUUAUUUUUUUUGAUAUUUUUAUUUUACUUAGGAGCAUUAAAGAAGUAACCACAGAAAAUUUGAGCUUGAACAAGUGAAAUACGUUGCCUACGGAAUUUUCUGAAGAUUGAGAAAAAUGUGAAAAAAACAUCACGAGGUGAAAACUCAAACUUUAGAGGCGAAUUUGGAAAUUAUAAAAUUUUCGAACCCACCAAAGGGGGGACAGACAUAUCCGAAUUUUUUUUCUGAUCGAUUUUGAUAUAUGGAACGUUGAAAUCGGAGUUCGUAUGUGAAAAUUUGCGGCGGUGGCUAGAAAUUGAUGGAAACGGUGGGGAAAAACACACGAACUGGACUCUAACAAGACGUAACCAGCAACAAGACCUUGACUAAGACAUAAACUCAAUUCUGUGGACUCUGAAACUGAAAUAUGCAAAUGCUAUGGCUUGGAAGGGUUGUAGGACAGGAAAAUGAUAUGGCACUGGACUUAUGGGACGAACACAAGAUCACUCGAAACUAGAGGUAUAUGUGAACCAAACGGUAUACCGGAAGCUUUGAUUACCACUUGAUGAGAACAAGGGUGGCCCGAUCUUCCGAAAGGUUCUAGUAACUCUCGAUUUGGUGGAGACGAGACACAAAUCGAUCCGGCUUCCGAACAACACGAUUCGAAACCCUGCAAUUUUUUAUUAUUUUUUUGAUAUUUUUCUUUUACUUAGGAGCACUAAAGAAGUAACCACAGAAAAUUUGAGCUUAAACAAGUGAAAGACGUGGCCUACAAAAUUUUCUGAAGAUUGCAAAAAAUGUGAAAAAACUUUAUGAGGUGAAAACUCAAAAGUCAGAGGCAAAUUUGGAGAUUCUAAAAUUUUCAAACCCGCCAAAGGCAUGGAGAGACAGAUCCGAAGUUUUUUUCUGAUCGAUUUUGAUAUAUCACUACUAACUUCUAACCCUAAUGCAACCAUUUUUUUGGUGCAACAGUGAGAUUUGGUUGCGAAAGGUGGUGUUCUCGCAACCAUUUUCAUUCUUGGUUGCGAUAGAUGGGAUUGUUGCCACCAAAAUUUUGUCGUGGCAAAAAGUAUGAUGGCCGUUGCAAUAAGUGGUUGUUGUCGCAACCAAAUAUAGAAUGGUUGCAAUACUUUGUGACUAUUGCCAUGAUUGGAUUAGCGUUGCAUAGAGUUAUUUUGGCGUUGCAAUACUAAGAUAAUAUUGCAACGUUUUUAUUUGGGUGGUUGCAACAAGUGGCUACUAUUGCAACGCUACGAAUGGUGUUGCAGGGAGUUCUUUUAGUGUUGCAAUACUAAAACGAUAUUGCAACGGUUGUAUUUGGUGGUUGCAAGAAUUGGCUUUUAUUGCCAUGAUAUGUUUUGCGUUGCAAUGAUUCCUUGCGGCAUUGCAAUAGUAAAAUAAUAUUGCAACGCUUUUUAGUUGAUGGUUGCAAUAGUAUACAUAUGUUGCAACAAAUUUAUUUCGUUGUAUGUAAUACUACCUUGCGUUGCAAAAAAUAUAUAUUGCAACUAAAAAUUGUAGUGCUGCAAUACCUAUUAUUUGACAAAAAGACAAAAAAUGAAAAAAAUACUGAGCCUACACAAAUUAAACCUGAGACCUUUUGAUUUAACUAGAUUACAAUAACCAGUUGAACCUCAAUGUGUUUGUGUCUUUACCUUAUAGAAAACACUAUAUUAACGAACGUAAAUAUAUAUAUUAUAAAUAAAGAGAUCUAAAAUUAAUUAACUCUUCAUGUUGUAGUAGACGUCGGACUCCUAUACGGGCGCGCGUGCCCUGACGCGAGCCGCCCUUCAUCCUUGCCCUGGCCGCGCCACGCCGCCACGCAGAGCUCCGUCGACGUCCCUCUCGCAGAAGAGAUCGCAGGUCAGCAAUACAGGUAUGCCGCCCUAACUCGAUCUCGAUCGGCCACCCUGCAGUAGCGAAAGCCGGCGCAAUGCCCUAACGACUCUUGAUCCGUCCCCUGCCCUUCCUUGCAGCUAGUGUCGAGGAACAGCAGGCCUUCCGUCCGUGGACGUCCUUCCAUGCAGCUAGCAUCGAGAAACUGAGGGCAGCAACCAUCACCAACAAUCACAGAGUAUCAGCAAGUAUGUGUAUGCAUGCACGCAUUGUAUAUAAAUAUAUAUAUUAUAUUAUAUAUAUAUUGUAGUAAAAUAAAAUUGGUCGUAACUUUCUGUGUUAAUUUUUACAUAAAUUAAUUAGCCUGAUCCCAUUAAUAAACAUGUUACAGGAAAAUCAAUCUCGAUAUAUUUGGAAUAUUGAAUCAAUGGCACGUGAUGAUGAUUGCCAAUGGAUGUUGUUGUCUCCGUCAACCGCUGAGUGCCAAGAUGGUCUCGAGAAAUUUAUUAGUACUAUUUUUGAAGGUAGCUAUGCAUCUGAAACUGCACCGUGUCCAUGUUCAAGGUGUCGUAACGUCGUGUACAAGACAAAAAAAGAGGUUCAGAUGGACUUGCUAACUAAAGGGUUUGAUGAGAACUUUGUCAAAGAGAAAGCUAAAGCUGAACCUUGCAAUGAUGAUAGGGAUCUAGCAGUCACAAGAGAUGAUGCAUCAUGUGCCAGCAAUCUGGUGUUCGCGUUAAUUAGGGGUGCAAACAAUGGUAAUGAUGAAGAGCCAAAUGAGAGUGCAAAGAAAUUCUUUGAAUUGUUGAAAGAAGCACAACAAGAGCUGUAUCCAGGUUGCUCCAAUCUUAGCAAGGUUUCAUUCAUGGUUAGGCUCUUUCAACUUAAGUGCAUGGGUGGAUGGAGUAAUGAGAACGCAGAGCAAACACUUAAGUUGUUCUCGGAUGCACUACCCCCGGGACAUUGUCUCCCUAACACUAUCAAGAAAGCACAAAAGAUUAUUCGCGACCUUGGCCUCACAUAUGUUAACAUUGAUGCUUCUGUGAAUGAUUGUGUGUUAUUUCGUGGACCAUUUGCCGAUAAGGACACAUGUCCCAUAUGUCAUGAGAGUAGGUGGAUGAAGGAUGACACUAGCGAGUCUAGUGAAAGUGGUGGACCGAAGCGCAGCUCCUUGCAAAAUUCUAAGGUAUUUUCCACUUGUUCCUAGAUUGCAAAGAUUAUAUAUGUCAUAGGAAACAUCAUCAUUGAUGCGGUGGCACAAGGAAGAAUUGAUCAGUGAUGGGAAAAUGUGGCACCCAGCAGACUCGCCAGCAUGGAAGCACGUCGAUCAAAGGUAUAAGAAAUUUGCUUCGGAUCCACGUAAUGUUAGGCUAGGACUUGCAUCGGAUGGCUUCAAUCCGUUUGGUAUGUUGAAUGUUAAUUACUCUUGUUGGCCUGUGAUAUUGAUUCCUUAUAACCUGCCUCCUUAGUUGUGUUUAAAACAACCUUAUUGGAUGAUGUCCAUGUUGAUACCUGGGCCUAAAUCUCCUAGAGUGAACAUUGAUGUAUAUUUGAACCUCUAAUUGAUGAGCUACAUGACCUGUGGGUUAAGGAGUUGAGACAUGGGAUGAGAAGGAGAAGAAGAACUUUACUCUACAUGCAAUUCUGUUGUGGACAAUUAAUGAUUUUCAUGCAUAUGCAAUGUUAUCUCGUUGGAGCACAAAAGGUAAAUUUUCAUGCCCUUAUUAUCAUAGGAAUACUAAUUACUUGUGGUUAAAAUAUGGAUCAAAGCAUUGCUACAUGGACAUCGCCGAUUUCUACCAAAGAACCACAAGUGGCGAAGAAAUAAGGUGAGCUUCAAUAAUAAGGCUGAAACCAGGGAAGCUCCUGUGCCGCUCACUGGUGAGCAAGUCCUGCGCGAGUUUGAGAGUUUCGAGCAAGUGAAAUUUGGGAAGGAUACAAGGAAAAGGAAGCAAUGUGAGGAAGAAAAUAGGUGGCACAACUGGAGGAAAAAGAGUAUUUUCUUUCAGCUUCCUUACUGGCAAUCAUUAAUUGCCAUUACUUGUACGACAUAAUUUGGAUGUCAUUCAUACUCAGAAGAACAUUUGUGAGAGCAUACUCGGGACUUUGUUGGAAUCACAAGGUAAAGAUAAGGACGGUGAGAAGGCCCGACUUGAUAUGCAACAUUUGAGUAUUAGGCAAGAUCAGCAUCUAGUGCUCGAAAAGGGUAAGUACACUUUGCCACCAGCAUUAUACUCACUAAGUAAGGAUGACAAGGAAAAUUUGUGCAAAUUUUUAUAUGUAGUGAAGUUCCCUGAUGGUUAUGCUGCAAAUAUUAGAAGAUGUGUAGACGUCAGUGGUUGUAAGCUUUCUGGACUUAAAACUCAUGACCUCCACAUCAUCUUGCAAAAACUGUUGCCCUUAGUGGUGCGCAACAUAUUGUCUGAAGAUGUGGUGAUCCCAUUGAUUGAGCUAAGUAGGUUCUUUAACUCAAUAUGUUGAACACAGUUGGAGCGUACAGAAAUUGAAAAACUAAGCACUUCAAUUAGGGAAACUCUUUGUCGGCUCGAGAUGAUUUUCCACCCACUUUUUUUUGAUUUUAUGAUGCACUUACCAGUUCAUCUUGCUGAUGAAGCUACACUUGGAGGCCCGGUUUGUUAUAGAUGGAUGUAUCCAGUUUAGAGGUACCUCCGUACUCUUAAAGGCUUUGUGAGGAACAAAGCGUACCCUGAAGGUUCGAUUGCAGAGGGGUAUAUAUCCGAAGAGUGCAUCACAUUUUGCUCUCUCUUCUUUGAUAAUAUUAGUACCAAGCUAAAUCGUCUAGAACGACAUGAAAGCGCCGCUGGUAGUGAACCACCAUCUAGGCUAAGUAUAUUUGGAAACAUUGACUACAGUAGAAAAGGAUGUACUAUAGAGGUCGUUUCUGAUAUUGACAUGCACAGGAUGAGGCAUUACUUAUUAACAAACUGUGAUGAGGUCACUCCAUGGAUAAAGUAAGCUAAAUUUGUUUAUAUAUAUUUUCAUAUUUUUUUGUUUCAUAUGUACAGUAAGCUAUAAAAUUUGUUUAUAUAUAUUUUCAUAUUUAUUUGUUUCAUAUGUACAGUAAGCUAUAAAAUUUGGUUAUAUAUAUUUUCAUAUUUAUUUAACGUAUUUUCAUUUUUUGUGGAAAGUGAGCAUAUGGAUGAGCUGAAAAAUCAAACACUCGACAGGUUGAUAAAAGACACAAACAGGAGUUUGUAUCAUGGUUUGAGCGUAAAGUGAGUCGGCCUUAUAUAUAUUAAAUUUGUUAUCCUUAUUUUGUCUAUAUAAUUUAUCCCUUAUAUUUUUUUAAAAAAAUUGAUAACUGCAGACCAUCACAUUGCGUGCACAAGGGAAAAUUGAUGACAUGAUUUAUUAUCUAUCUCGCGGUCCGGACCGUCAGGCUCGUGUGUUCAGCAGGUGCUUCAUCAAUGGCUUCCUAUUUCGGGUUUCUUCCGUAGAGAACUGCUUAACUAAUCAAAAUAGUGGUGUAUUUGUGAAAGGUGAUUGAAGUACAGGUGACAUGGGCUGGUAUGGCGUGCUUAAGAAAAUCAUCUGCCUUGAUUUUCCUGGUCAAAAGUAAGUAAUGUUGUUCCAGUGCGUUUGGUUUGAUAUCCCUACAGCAAGUACAAGCAGAUCGAGAGGGUACCAUCACGAUCGAUAUGGGGUCAUAGAUAUUAAUACCACUAGGUUCAGGUAUAAAGAUGAACCCUUAUACCUUGAGCAUACAGGCCGAGCAAGUCUUCUAUGCAAAAUACCCAGAUAAACCAGAUUGGUGUAGUGUCCUCAGAGUGCAGCCUAGAAACUUGUUUUCCAUGCCUGAAGGCGAAGGUAGUGACAACAUGGAGCUUGAUCUGGACUCAGUUGAUGUAGGUGUGGGAGAUAUGAAUGUUCAACGGCAAAUUGGAGAUGUCAUGACUUGGAGUAGGUCUGGCCUUGAUGGGGUUACUGUUCAAGCUUCUAUUAUUGAGCAUGCUCUUGCAACAGCAAUGCCUGAACCUGAACAUGAUUUCCUUGAUGAAGACGAAGACCCAUAUGACAUAUAAAUGAUGGAGUCAUCCCUCCUUUCAGUGUUUUGAGAGAUGAUUCACAUGAUGAUAUUUUUUGAUAAAUGAUUUAGCUUUUUCUAUUUCUUUGAUCCCUAUGUGGAUGCUUUCAGUGUUUUGAGAGAAAUUUAUAUUUCAGUAGACGCGAACUAUCAUUUUUUAAUUAAGCACUAUUAUUUUUGAAUUAAACACUAAAAUUUUUUACGGAGUCGUCCCUUUCAGUGUUUCUUUUAUUAUGCACAGUUCAUACAUAUUAACAAAUAUUUUUUUUGAACUAUUGGGCCACACCCCUGUCUUUUAACACAACUGCAAACAAGAGUAUGCCAACAGUAAAGUCUAAACCUCACAAAAACUAACAUCCAAAACUUUGAGCAAGUCAGACACAUAGGCAACACACAAAGCAAAGAAAUAUUAGGUCCAAGCAACUCAUUUCCCUUAUAUAUAUUAGGUCCAAGCAAGUCACAGACAACUCAGUUGCCAAACACUACAACAUUAGGUUUUGAAAACUAAUAACUUAAAACGACAUAGUUCUACUGAUUCCCAUCAGACAAGUCUUUUCCCUUCCUAACAUUUAUUUAUUUACAUCAAAAGAUAAGUACCACAUCAGCAGCACGCACUUUACUACUUCGGCUUGUACAUCUUGCUGAUCUGAGCGUACAACUUGUCAAACCUCUUUUCAGCUGAACGCCUAGUGUCCUUUAGAAACUGCUCGGCAUGGUAAUCCAUGGUGCCAAGGACAUCAGCUUUAGCCAGCUCAAUUCUCCAUUUCAGCUUGUCCAUGGGUUUCUCAUCACUGUCAUCACCAAAGGAACAGGUGGUGGAGUAGUCGUCACCACUGCCAUCCUCAUAAGGAUCAUAAAUGGGAGUAGUCGUCACCGUCACCUUCGAGAGACGAGGCCCUCCUUUGGCACGCUUGGUAGUGGACUUUGGCACCUUCUUGUUGGCAGUACAGGAUGCAGCAGCUUUGCCACGCUUGACAGCGGACACCGGGACCUUCUUCAAAUUGGUGUUAGAUGCCCUUUUGGUCCCCGACGCUGCUCCUAUGGUGUCUUUGCCACUGAUCUGCAAGAUACAUGUAAACAAGGUCAAAUAUUACUAAACAAUCCAAAGGAUUGCAUAAUAAAAUGGCUGACAGGGAUUCUAGAACAAUAUCUUAUCAAGAUAAUAAAAUGCCUGAAAUAAAAUUAUUUAACAAAAUAUACUAAAUGACAAAGCUAAAUCAUCCACUCCCAGAACAACUCAUGUUGGAUCAUUUACUACACAAUAAGACAGUGCAAAAAGACAUACAUACAUGCAUGUACGCCUUGUGACACUAUCUCCCAGGCGCUCUAAGCAUUCUAAUUGCUUAGCAAUCAAACAAGUCAGGAUGAGAUGCACAAUUUAGAAACUGAAAAUACACAAAAUUAAAUGCACUGGAGCAAUACAUGGAUGACCAAUAAAAUUAUCGAACUAUUUUCAUGCUACUGGACCAGUGACCUUAUGUCAUGAGUUUGGACAACAAAUGGUUCCCACAGAAUUAGGCAGAUAAGAGAAGUACAAUACAUAAUGUUAUGCCUCAGAUUUGGACAAAUAAAGUCAACAGCUGAUUGAACUGUUGAAUGUCAGUCAGCUCUCCUCUGUUCUCAUGUACAGCAUUCUAAUUUAGUCAUUCUAAUUGGGUGCUUGCAAGCCAUACUAAUUUUAGAGUUCUAUAAUCAUGUUUCCUUUCAAUCACAAAUAUAGUUCAAAGUUCUAUAUUCUAUGACCUGAAACUCUGAACAUAGCUAAUUUCAAAUAACUCUGAACUACUAUAAUUUAAUUUAAGCUAUCAACUCUAGCUAGACCGAACAAAUAAAAUUUAAUUUUCACAAACCGAAUGCUGAUCCUAGGACCUUCAAAACUGAAUUACUUGAAACCCUAAAUCCUGCAGAGGAAUUACUUAAAACCCUGGAAGGUAACAUCUGCACUAACUGGCCCUAAAUCCCCAUUGCAACACUACUGGCCCUAAAUCCCCAUUACAACCCUAAAUCCCCAUUGCACUAAGUCAGACCCAAUUGCAACAGUACUGGCCCUAGUCACCAUUGCAACCCUAAAUCCCGAAUGCCAAAUCUUACCUUGGUCGCCAGGCUUACCUUUGUCGCUGGUGUCACCAGGGUCAGUUUGGCCGCCGGGGUCAUCUUUGUCGCCAGCUUGACGUUGGAGUCUGGGUCGGACCCGCAGUCCGAUUCGGAGUCAGAGUCGGAGAAUAUCUCGAUGUAGACCGGCUCGGGGGCGAACUGACCGCAUGCAUUGCGCCUUUGGGUCCGAGCGUUGUGGCCACGCUUGUCGCUUCCCAUCUUCGCCGCCGAUGGAGACGCCGCCGAGGGAGACGCUAUCACCGCCUCGCUGCAGCCGCCCGUGGGUGGGGAAUGACGAAUGGGUAAUGGCACGCACGGGUGGGGGGAAGGGGAACGGCACCAUGGCCUGUUUUCUCUCCGCGAAAUCGAGUUGGGCCGUUGGUCGGCCCGUUAACCUGAGUUAGCCGCAACAAGGCAAGUGAGGUGGCCUCAUUGUUUUUAGUACCACCUCGCCAACUGAAGUUGUGGUAGCGUUGCUUAAAAGCGUAGAUGCCUAAGGUGGUUCGAACUCCUUGAUACGAAUACCGUGCUGACCUGUGUGCCCUUGUCUUAGGCCUGCUGGGCUUCAUUGGCUCGCUGGGCUCCCGUUUCGGUUUGAGCCCGUUGGGUUCCCUUGCGGUUGAGCCUGGCGAGCCUACUUGCCCUGCAGGCCUACAAACUUUUUGUUUUUAAAAUUUAAAAAUUAUUUUUCUUACCCUUUAUUAAACCAUUUUGUUUUACCAUAAAUUGUUUUUCUAACCCUUUCUUCAACAAUUUUAGAUUUUUUUCGAAAAUGUUUAUCUAAAUUAUUUAUUGCCAACCUUUUUAAAUUGUAGUGGGUGCCAUGUCAAGACCAACUUGGCAACCAAUCUCGUUCGAGAGUUUCAUCGUGUCCAACUAUGUUUUUCUAACACUUAAUUCAACAAUUUUAGUUUCUUUACUAAAUUGUUUGUCUAAAUUAUUUAGUGCCAACACUUUUAAUUCUAGUGAGUGCCAUGUCAUGAUCAACAACUACUAUGAGUGCCAUGUCAUGUCGUUACUGCUCGUCCACCUUCCGUCUCGCUUCCAUCUAGUAACUACUAUGUGUCAUAUUGUGUCGAUAUGCCACAUAGUGUCAUGUCGUUACUUGCGGAGCUUAGGCAUGGCCAUAAUGUGUCAUGGCCCCCUGCUAAAGCAAUAUCUCCAUUGAGUGAAUACUGAUUUUGGUACUGUUUAUAAGUUUAGUUGCUUAAUGAACACUGGCUGCCCCCCUGAAUUCUUCAUUAAGCUCCGCCACUAUAUAUCAUGACCAACAAAACUAACACUAUGCUAUAUAUCUUCCAUCAAGCGUGUUAUGUAUUCACCAAAAACUUGAUUUGUACUCUACUAUCAACUGCCAUGUACAAAUUUCUUCUGAGUGGUCAAAAGAAGUUAAUUAGUACCUUGAUAUAUCAAGUGUCAUGUCAUAUGCCAUCCAAUGCAAUGUAGCGAUGUAGCAAAAGACACAUCGAGUGUCCCAUCAUGAUAAAUAACCUUUCAUGGUGGCAUACCAAGGACGACACAUCAUAUGUAAGUCAUAAACCAUGAGUUCCCGAUGAUCAACAACAACUUCAUAUGCAAGUCGUAAACCAUGAAUUAUUAAUAUUUUGUGACUUGCGUGAAUCAAGAUCAUGAUAUUUUAAUAUUUUUUCACGUUAUAUACCUUCGUACUUAUUUGUAAAAUUAAUUUUCAAGAUAAUAAUUAUUUUUUGAGUUUCCUCAAAAAAGUGCGCCAAAUUUCCCACUUUCCUAAUCAAACCUUGACCAAAUCUAUUCCCAAACCCCCGUAACCCCCGUCCCCCACGCCCUCCUGGUCCUAAUCUAAUUUUCCUCCACGACGCCGCCAGUCAGCGGUUCUUACUUCUUCCUCCGUUGCUGUGAGGGGCAUGGCGCCCCAGCGGCCAUAUAGGACACCGCUGACGCCUCCGAGGUCCAUGACGACCACGACACCGGUGACACCACCAGGCAGGAUGUUGAUUUCUCAGCCUCCAAGCAACGACAACGACACCACCACCAUGGGUGCCCAUCGGUACACAGAAGCCACCCUCGAAAUCGAAGACGAUGAAGGUUUCACAACUCCAUAUAAGCCCAGGUACUAGUUGUAAUUAGGGUUUCAAAGCAUAUGUGUUAAUUAGGGUUUGCAGUUUAUACUGACUUAUAUAAGUUAAUUUGGAUUCGCAAUUUACUGACUGUAUUUAGGGUGUAGUUUCUUACUGAUUGUUUAUGUUGUAGAAUAAUUCUGUGCAAAAUUAUAGGUACUACUUUUAGGUAUAUUUUCUUACUGAUUGUAGUUUCUUAAAUUUUUCCUUAAAUUUCUUACUGAAUGUAGUUCAAUUGAGUGCAAAUUUAGGUGUUGUUUCUUACUGAUUGUUUUCAUUGUAGAAUAAUUGCUUAAGUUUCUUUUUAAUUGUAGUUUUCUAGAAUAAUUGAGUGUAAAUUUAUGUGAAGUUUCUAAGUAGUUCUUUAUGUUCUAGAAUAAAUUGUAAGUUCACAUUCUCGUUACAAUGGCUUACAGUGACUUUAUUUAUUGAAAAUUAACUAACAGUGGCAUAGUGUUAGUUAAUGAAUCUCCUUAUUUAAUACUUCUUUAUUUGUCUACACUUGUACUAUGAAUACAGUGACUUGUUUAUUUGUCAAACUUUAUCCUCUAAAUCUCCUUUUGUAAUAAUUGUUUAUUUAUCAACCAUCAUUCUAUGGGUACAGUGGUAAAGGUGAACUCUAGACUCUAUAUGUUCAUUGCAAGAAUGGACUUCCAAACCAGGAGUAUGUCAUGUUCAGAAUUCAAAAGAGUGAUCUAAGAUUCAAAACAUUGUCAUCUCUUAAGGACCAGCUUGGGUACGCUGUCCGGGAUUUUUUAUACUACAAGAAGCGUUGUGGAAGAGAUGUAGCUACUCUUGAGCCCAUAGAUUAUAUCAAACAUGCAAAGAUUAUGAUACAAGAAAAUGAAAUGGAGAAGGAAAUCAGAUUAGUACUCAGAACCAGUUAGCAUAACACCAAUGAAGCGACCAAGGCAACACACCGAAGAAGAAGAUGAUGAUGACCAUCCGUUUAUGGAUGAUGAACUUAAUGCAUACAAGGUCUGGCUAGAAAACCUACCACUAGAGAGAAAGAAAGGUAUACUGUACUAUAUUUUUUUUUGUUUGUAUUGUUACUGUUCAUAAUUUACACCCUUAUAUAAACUACACUAUAUCUAACAUAUUUUGGUGACUAACAGAUUUGAAGGAUACUACCAAUAGGACAGAAACAACUGACACGUAUAGGGAAUUUUUAAAGAUGAAAGGGGAUUUGCCAGAAAUAAGUAAUUAAAUAUCCUUUUUAUAGCACUAUAUAUUUCACUUCUAUGUUUUUAAUAACUAAAGCUUUUAACCUUGUCCAGUGGCAUAUCUUGAGCAACCUAAAAUGGAUGGCAUCAUAAAUGAUGAAGAUGAAAGUAAUGGAAGCAGCUUGACACCACCCUCAAAUAGGCCAAGUCAUGCAAGGAGGCCAAGGGGACAGGAAAAUGGUUUGUGAUGAUACAUAUACUUUUAAUAUUGUGUUUACUUUCUUCAAUUGAGAGCUAAGACAGUUGGAGUUUAUUGUUGCCUUUUUUUGCAAGGAGGUGGCCCCAAUCAACCUAAGAAAAAAGGUUGUGGUACAGUCAAAGGAAAAACAGUAAUCAGUAGGAGAGUUAAGGAACGCACACAAAAACUCUCAAUUGAAUUUUCAGCAACCCGUGGAGGUCCAAUUGGACCGAACGCCCGUGCAUUUGUGGAUGAAAUCAUGCUGUUUACAAGGAAAUGGGCACCGCUGAUUGGAGUAAAUAGUUGGUAGGGUAUAAAGGAGGAAGUCAAAGAGCAAAUUGCUGAAGAGAUGCUGGUAUGCUUCGUACAACGUUUUUUGUACUUGUGUCUUAUAUUAAUUUUGUUAAACAUUUGAUUGCUUUUAAAUUAUAAGCAGCUUACGUGGAACUUCACCAACAUUAGCACUUUGGAAAAAAAAAGAUGAAGAUAUGGGGCAUUGUUAGGGAGCGGUACAAAGGAUGGCGAGCAGCUCUGAGUGCCACAUACAGGGCUUACAAUACCUAUGCUGAGAGAAUAAUGAAUAAACCUGAAGAAAUAGACAUUGUUGAGUGGCACUAUCUGCUAUUGUAUUUUUUAUCUGAUGAAUUCAAGGUCAGUUCAAGUAAAAUGUACUUUCUCAAACAAGCUUUGUGAACCAAUGUUGCAUUCUCACAUAUGCCACUUGUACUCAUUUUGCAGAAGACUAGCAGCCAGAACUCCUCCAACCGUAAGCAACAAAGAACCACACAUCUGAUGGGUUCAAAAAACUUCUCUCAGUGUAGCUACGAGCAGGUAUCCAUAUGGUUCACUAGUCUGGUCUUUCCAUUUUAUUAUGCAACACUAUUUUUCAAAUAUGUAUUGGCAUUCUAGAGAAACGAAGAAACUGGUGAAGAGCCAAACGAUCUUCUUCUUUGGAGGAGCACUCACACAAAACAUGCCAAAUGGUCAAAUUCUAUAUCAGCUGCAGUAUAUGUGAGUAAAUCUUUCCAAAAGCCUUUUUAUAUAAGUGCUGUUUCUAUCAAGCAACUUGUAACAAACUUUGUUCUUUUACUUAGGAAAAUGCAGCCAUGAAAAUUGGUGAGAUUGCUUUACAACCUGAUGCACAAUCACUUUCAUCUGCUGAGGAGAACAUGAUUUUCCAAUCAUGCUACAAAGAAACCAAACAAAUCAAAUCAUCCAAAUUACAUGGGCGUGGAUAUUUGGCUAAGUAUCGAACUCGCAGAGAACAUAUGGAAGAGAAUCUUGAAGUACAUUCACGUGUUAAAGCUGCAGCUAGAGAAGAGCAUUGCUUUUCAAGCAGAGGUUGAGAAGCUAAAAGAACAGAUUGCAAACGAAGCUAUAGAAAGGGAGAGGGAGAUAGAAGAAGAUAGAAGGAAGAUGCAACAGGAACCUGAAGAGGCUAAGAUAAAAAUAAGAUAAGAAAUGAAGCAAUACAUGGUUAAUAUGUUAGCACAUCACAAGGAAGCAAAUAUGAAUAUGGUAAAUUUUCAAAAAAAAAAUCCUUCUUCCUCAUAACAAACUUAUGAUUAUGAUGGUGACUAGUCUUUUACCUCAAUAUUUGUUGUGUAGAGUACCCCUCAAAACAUUGACACUAUACAAGUUGCACCAGCCAUACAAGGCGACGAUGAGACUGCUGAACAUGAUCAAGAAAAUGAGUUACAGCAGGUAAUGACACUGUUGCACUAAUUUUCAUGUGAUCUUGAGUACCAUGAACUGUAGCUAAAAAUAUUUUAUUGUUUGUAAACUCAGCCUCAAAGUGUUGUGACUGUACAAAAAGAUGCAGCUACUCCUUCUAAUAGAAGUACUAGUCUUGUGAGCAAAAACCUUUUCGACGAAAACUCUACAAAUGUGGCACCAUCGAAGACAUAUAUCACACAGCAACAGCUCAUGAAUAGAACAAGAAGUAACAAAAAGAGGAAGGUAAUUAGAAUCUAAAUUUUGAUCAUUUUUACUUGCUGCCACUACAUUUUAUAUUUAUGUGAGCUUGAAUGGCUGUUGUGAGCUUGAAUGGUUGCUGUGAGCUUUCAAUUUCUUUUGUGAUGUGAGCUUGCAUGUAUAACUAGAAGCAAGUUUGAUAUUCCCCUAGGCCAUUAAUUAAUGGAUCAAGGUGAGAUGCUUUUGAUGUAUUCCCCUAUUUUUGGAAGAGUUUUAGGGCACUGAUAUAGCAUUUUUCGUUGGAUUUGUUGGGGCAAUAGAGUUUGAUCUUGUGUGUCAUCCCUGCUAGGUGACAGUUUUGGCAGUUUCUGUUUCUCUUUGAAUAUGGAUGUGUUACAUCCUGAAUUAAAUUUACCACAUGUUGAAGUAUUUGUAGAAGACUUAGAAUUUUAUCUAGGAAGGUCGAGAUCAUAAUUUUUGGCCUUGUGGUUUAAGAGACAUUGUAGUUCAAAGUUGGCUGUCUUGUUCUGACUAGUUUCUGAACAGUUUUAGAUGUAAUCUGUUUUUGGCUAUCUUAAUGGAUGAAUUUGAAACUAUGAUCUAAACAAAAGUUGUAGGGUUUUUAUCAAGCUUUCCAUAUUGGUACAGAUCACAAUUUUUGGAUUCCUAGAACUACACAUAUGAAAUUUAAAGUGGACUGUCAGAUUUGUGUUGUCAGAUUCAACACUUAGGGUUCCCACUAUGGUUAAUGGAUCUUAUUGAUCUUUUACUGCAUAGAGCUAUAUAACUAAAGUUAUGAAUAAGAAAAUUGUGCAUUCUCUGGUGAAGUUUCAUAAUUUUUGGAUGAGUGGUUUAGUAGAUAAUCAAGGUGUCACCAUUGACUAUCAAACCUCAAGACAGAUUUCAUAGUCUUGACUGAGCUGAAUAUUAGGAUAGUUUCCUAAGCAAAUAAAAAUGUUUUGACUAGUGAAAGUUGUUCACCUUUCUCUUUAAAUUCUGAAAGUUUUUUUACUUACUAGCAUUACUUUUGUAGAUUAAAAGAUAUAAAAAAGAUAAGUAUGGUUUCUCUUGUAGGAUGAUUGUGGUGUUGCUGAUUUUGUGAAGUUUGAUGUUCAGUUUUGGAUGUCAGAAAUUAAAAGAUAUGAUUUAGAAUUUGAAUGCUUCACUGAUCUUAUUUAAGUUUUCCUAAUAUCAUAUUCUUACUGUUUUUGCAGUGACUGCAGAAGGAUUCAGUGGGAGGCGAGGCGAUGAAAUGUUGGGCUGAUUGUGAUGUACUGAAGGCUACAUAGAUGUUUUUGGAAGUGUCGUCUAGUUACAAAGUUUCUUUAAAUUGUCCAAAUAUCAGUGAACUACAUUUAUGGUUUUACUUACUAUUUGAAUUGUUUGUCAGAAUAUUGAAUUGGAUGUUUCAUUGAAGUUAACAUAUGCGAGUGCAAACUUUUUUAUUAUGGUCUCUUGAUAUUGCAACAGAAAGCAUAGUCACUACUAGCAUUGUAAUAAACACUAUUACCACGGCAUUGCUAUCGUUGCAAAAAAAACAUUUACAUAUUGCCACGGCAUUGCUAACGUUGCAAAAACAUUUAAACUACCACAACGAUAAAAUUGCGUUGCAACAAUGGUUGUAGCAAUAGCGAAUGGUCUGUUGCAACGGUGAACAAUUCGAUGCAAAAAUACUAUUGCCAUGAAAAAAACAACCGUAGCAAUAACAUAUCAUAUCUUGCAACCAAUAAAAAUCGUGGCAAGAGGUAAUAUUGCAACGCCAGAGUUUUCAUGGCAAUAAUGCAAACGUUCUCGCAACGAGUGCAAUGUUGUGGCAAUAAACUAUUUGGCAACCAAAUUUUAUCAUGGCAAUAAAUGAUAUUGCAACGCAUCAAUUAAACUCUUGCAACAAAGCCUAGUGUUGCAAGUGUUCCUAUUGCAACGUGUCAAACGACCUCUUGCAACGAAGUCUAGCAUUGCGAGUGCUCAUAUUGCAACGCAUCAAUUCAGCUUUUGCAAUGAAUCCUAGUGUUGCAAGUGUUCCUAUUGCAACGUGUCAAAUGACCUCUUGCAACGAAGUCUAUCGUAGCGAGUGCUCAUAUUGCAACGCAUCAAUUCAGCUUUUGCAAUGAAUCUUAGUGUUGCAAGUGCUCGUAUUGCAACGCAUCAAUCAAACUCUUGCAACGUAACCUAGUGUUGCAAAUGCUCAUAUUGCAACUCCAUGGGCGUUGCGACAACAUUCAAUUGCAACGCUUCGCAACGAACCACUACGGUUGCAAUACACAUUAGCACUGACAACGCCAAACUAAAAACGGUUGCAGUAACUUAUUGCAACCAUUGGCAAUGCCAGUGUUUUGGUGGCAAUUGCUACAUAUUGCAACCAAAUAGGGCCUAUUGCAACGCUUUUGCAGAGUUGUGAUAGACAUAGAAGUUAGUAGUGUAUGGAACGUUGAAAUCAGAGUUCGUAUGCGAAUGUUAUGCCUGUUUUACAAACGGACUCCAAAUUAGAGGACAAAACGGUUCGAAAGUGGAAAAAAUUUGCGGCGGUGGCUAGAAAUUUAUGGAAACGGUGGGGAAAAACACACGAACUGGACUCUAACAAGAGCCAACCAGCAAUAAGACCUCGACCAGGACACAAACUCAACACUGUGGACUCUGAAACUAAAAUAUGCAAAGGCUAUGGCGCGGAAGGGUUGUAGGACAGGAAAACGAUAUGGCACUAGACUUAUGGGACGAACACAAGAACACUCGAAACUAAGGGUAGAUGUGAACCUAACGAUAUACCUGAAGCUUUGAUUACCACUUGAUGAGAACAAGGGUGGCCUGAUCUUCCGAAAGGUUGUGGUAACUCUCGAUUUGGUGGAGACAAGACACAAAUCGAUCCGGCUUCCGAACAACAUGAUCCAAAACCUUGCAAUUUUUUAUUUUUUUGAUAUUUUUCAUUUACUUAGGAGCACUAAAGAAGUAACCACAGAAAAUUUGAGCUUAAACAAGUAAAAGACGUGGCCUGUGGAAUUUUCUAAAGAUUGAGAAAAAUGUGAAAAAAAACUUCACGAGGUGAAAACUCAAAGGUCGGAGGCAAAUUUGGAGAUUCCAAAAUUUUCAAACUCGCCAAAGGCAUGGAGAGACAGAUCCAAAGCUUUUUUCUAAUCGAUUUUGAUAUAUGGAACGUUGAAAUCGAAGUUCGUAUGUGAAAGUUAUGGCUGUUUUACGAACGAACUCCAAAUUAGCGGACAAAACGGUCCGAAAGUGGGAAAAAUUUGCGUCAAUGGCUAGAAAUUGAUGGAAACGGUGGGGAAAACACAUGAACUGGACUCUAACAAGACCUAACCAGCAAUAAGACCUCGACCAGGACACAGACUCAACACUGUGGACUCUGAAACUGAAAUAUGCCAAGGCUGUGGCGCGGAAGGGUUGUAGGAUAGGAAAACGAUAUGGCACUCGACUUGUGGGACGAACACAAGAACAUUCAAAACUAAGGGUAGAUGUGAACCUAAUGGUAUACCUGAAGCUUUGAUUACCACUUGAUGAGAAAAAGGGAGGCCCAAACUUCUGAAAGGUUCUGGUAACUCUCGAUUUGGUGGAGACGAGACACAAAUCGAUUCAGCUUCUGAACAACACGAUACGAAACCCUUCAAUUUUUUUAUUUUUUUGAUAUUUUUAUUUUACUUCAGAGCACUAAAGAAGUAAGCAUACCAAAAUUGAGCUUAAACAAGUGAAAGACGUGGCCUGCGGAAUUUUCUAAAUAUUGCAAAAAAUGUGAAAAAAAACUUCACGAGUUGAAAACUCAAAGGUCGGAGGCAAAUUUGGAGAUUCUAAAAUUUUCAAACCCACAAAAGGCAUGGAGAGACAGAUCUAAAGUUUUUUUCUGAUCGAUUUUGCUAUAUGGAACGUUGAAAUCGGAGUUCGUAUGCGAAAGUUAUGGCUAUUUUACGAACGGACUCUAAAUUAGUGGACAAAACGGUCUGAAAGUGGGAAACAUUUGCGGCGGUGGCUAGAAAUUGAUGGAAACGGUGGGGAAAAACGCACGAACUGGACUCUAACAAGACCCAACCAGUAAUAAGACCUCGACCAGGACACAAACUCAGCACUGUGGACUCUGAAACUGAAAUAUGCAAAGGCUAUGGCGCGGAAGGGUUGUAGGACAGGAAAACGAUAUGGCACUAGACUUAUGGGACGAACACAAGAACACUCGAAACUAAGGGUAGAUGUGAACCUAACGAUAUACCUGAAGCUUUGAUUACCACUUGAUGAGAACAAUGGUGGUCUGAUCUUCUGAAAGGUUGUGGUAACUCUCGAUCUGGUGGAGACAAGACACAAAUCAAUCCGGCUUCCGAACAACAUGAUCCGAAACCUUGCAAUUUUAUUAUUUUUUUUGAUAUUUUUCUUUUACUUAGGAGCACUAAAGAAGUAACCAUAGAAAAAUUGAGCUUAAACAAGUGAAAGACGUGGCUUGCGGAAUUUUCUGAAGAUUGAGAAAAAUGUGAAAAAAAACUUCACAAGGUGAAAACUCAAAGGUCGGAGGCAAAUAUGGAGAUUCCAAAAUUUUCAAACCCACCAAAGGCAUGGAGAGACAGAUCCAAAGUUUUUUUCUAAUCAAUUUUGAUAUAUGGAACGUUGAAAUCAAAGUUCGGAUGUGAAAGUUAUGGUUGUUUUACGAACGGACUCCAAAUUAGAGGACAAAACGGUCCGAAAGUAGGAAAAAUUUGCGACAAUGGCUAGAAAUUGAUGGAAACGGUGGGAAAAAACAUAUGAACUGGACUCUAACAAGACCUAACCAACAAUAAGGCCUCGACCAGGACACAACUCAACAUUGUGGACUCUGAAACUGAAAUAUGCCAAGGCUAUGGCGCAGAAGGGUAGUAGGAUAGGAAAACGAUAUGGCAGUGGACUUAUGGGACGAACACAAGAACACUCGAAACUAAGGGUAGAUGUCAACCUAAUGGUAUACCUAAAGCUUUGAUUAUCACUUGAUGAGAAGAAGGGAGGCCCAAUCUUCUGAAAGGUUCAGGUAACUCUCGAUUUGGUGGUGACGAGACACAAAUCGAUUCGGCUUCCAAACAACAUGAUCCGAAACCCUACAAUUUUUUUAUUUUUUGAUAUUUUUCUUUUACUUCGGAGCACUAAAGAAGUAAGCACAGAAAAUUUAUGCUUAAACAUGUGAAAGACGUGGCCUGCAGAAUUUUCUGAAGAUUGCAAAAAAUGUGAAAAAAAACUUCACGAGUUGAAAACUCAAAGGUCGGAGGCAAAUUUGGAGAUUCUAAAAUUUUCAAACGCACGAAAGGCAUCGAGAGACAGAUCUGAAGUUUUUUUCUGAUCGAUUUUGCUAUAUGGAACGUUGAAAUCGGAGUUCGUAUGCGAAAGUUAUGGCUGUUUUACGAACGGACUCCAAAUUAGUGGACAAAACGGUCCGAAAGUGGGAAACAUUUGCGGCGGUGGCUAGAAAUUGAUGGAAACGGUGGGGAAAAACGCACGAACUGGACUCUAACAAGACCCAACCAGCAAUAAGACCUCGACCAGGACACAAACUCAACAAUGUGGACUCUGAAACUGAAAUAUGCAAAGGCUAUGGCGCGGAAGGGUUGUAGGACAGGAAAACGAUAUGGCACUAGACUUAUAGGACGAACUCAAGAACACUCGAAACUAAGGGUACAUGUGAACCUAACGAUAUACCUGAAGCUUUGAUUACCACUUGAUGAGAACAAUGGUGGUCUGAUCUUCCGAAAGGUUGUGGUAACUCUCGAUCUGGUGGACACAAGACACAAAUCGAUCCGGCUUCCGAACAACAUGAUCCGAAACCUUGCAAUUUUUUUAUUUUUUUUGAUAUUUUUCUUUUACUUAGGAGCACUAAAGAAGUAACCACAAAAAAUUUGAGCUUAAACAAGUGAAAGACGUGGCUUGUGGAAUUUUCUGAAGAUUGAGAAAAAUGUGAAAAAAACUUCACAAGGUGAAAACUCAAAGGUCGGAGGCAAAUUUGGAGAUUCCAAAAAUUUCAAACCCACCAAAGGCAUGGAGAGACAGAUCCAAAGUUUUUUUCUAAUCAAUUUUGAUAUAUGGAACGUUGAAAUCGGAGUUCGUAUGCGAAAGUUAUGGCUAUUUUACGAACGGACUCCAAAUUAGUGGACAAAACGGUCUGAAAGUGGGAAACAUUUGCGGCGGUGGCUAGAAAUUGAUGGAAACGGUGGGGAAAAACGCACGAACUGGACUCUAACAAGACCCAACCAGAAAUAAGACCUCGACCAGGACACAAACUCAGCACUGUGGACUCUGAAACUGAAAUAUGCAAAGGCUAUGGCGCGGAAGGGUUGUAGGACAGGAAAACGAUAUGGCACUAGACUUAUGGGACGAACACAAGAACACUCGAAACUAAGGGUAGAUGUGAACCUAACGAUAUACCUGAAGCUUUGAUUACCACUUGAUGAGAACAAUGGUGGUCUGAUCUUCUGAAAGGUUGUGGUAACUCUCGAUCUGGUGGAGACAAGACACAAAUCAAUCCGGCUUCCGAACAACAUGAUCCGAAACCUUGCAAUUUUAUUAUUUUUUUUGAUAUUUUUCUUUUACUUAGGAGCACUAAAGAAGUAACCAUAGAAAAAUUGAGCUUAAACAAGUGAAAGACGUGGCUUGCGGAAUUUUCUGAAGAUUGAGAAAAAUGUGAAAAAAAACUUCACAAGGUGAAAACUCAAAGGUCGGAGGCAAAUAUGGAGAUUCCAAAAUUUUCAAACCCACCAAAGGCAUGGAGAGACAGAUCCAAAGUUUUUUUCUAAUCAAUUUUGAUAUAUGGAACGUUGAAAUCAAAGUUCGGAUGUGAAAGUUAUGGCUGUUUUACGAACGGACUCCAAAUUAGAGGACAAAACGGUCCGAAAGUAGGAAAAAUUUGCGACAAUGGCUAGAAAUUGAUGGAAACGGUGGGAAAAAACAUAUGAACUGGACUCUAACAAGACCUAACCAACAAUAAGGCCUCGACCAGGACACAACUCAACAUUGUGGACUCUGAAACUGAAAUAUGCCAAGGCUAUGGCGCAGAAGGGUAGUAGGAUAGGAAAACGAUAUGGCAGUGGACUUAUGGGACGAACACAAGAACACUCGAAACUAAGGGUAGAUGUCAACCUAAUGGUAUACCUAAAGCUUUGAUUAUCACUUGAUGAGAACAAGGGAGGCCCAAUCUUCUGAAAGGUUCAGGUAACUCUCGAUUUGGUGGUGACGAGACACAAAUCGAUUCGGCUUCCAAACAACAUGAUCCGAAACCCUACAAUUUUUUUUAUUUUUUGAUAUUUUUCUUUUACUUCGCAGCACUAAAGAAGUAAGCACAGAAAAUUUAUGCUUAAACAUGUGAAAGACGUGGCCUGCAGAAUUUUCUGAAGAUUGCAAAAAAUGUGAAAAAAAACUUCACGAGUUGAAAACUCAAAGGUCGGAGGCAAAUUUGGAGAUUCUAAAAUUUUCAAACGCACGAAAGGCAUGGAGAGACAGAUCUGAAGUUUUUUUCUGAUCGAUUUUGCUAUAUGGAACGUUGAAAUCGGAGUUCGUAUGCGAAAGUUAUGGCUGUUUUACGAACAGACUCCAAAUUAGUGGACAAAACGGUCCGAAAGUGGGAAACAUUUGCGGCGGUGGCUAGAAAUUGAUGGAAACGGUGGGGAAAAACGCACGAACUGGACUCUAACAAGACCCAACCAGCAAUAAGACCUCGACCAGGACACAAACUCAACACUGUGGACUCUGAAACUGAAAUAUGCAAAGGCUAUGGCGCGGAAGGGUUGUAGGACAGGAAAACGAUAUGGCACUAGACUUAUAGGACGAACUCAAGAACACUCGAAACUAAGGGUACAUGUGAACCUAACGAUAUACCUGAAGCUUUGAUUACCACUUGAUGAGAACAAUGGUGGUCUGAUCUUCCGAAAGGUUGUGGUAACUCUCGAUCUGGUGGACACAAGACACAAAUCGAUCCGGCUUCCGAACAACAUGAUCCGAAACCUUGCAAUUUUUUUAUUUUUUUUGAUAUUUUUCUUUUACUUAGGAGCACUAAAGAAGUAACCACGAAAAAUUUGAGCUUAAACAAGUGAAAGACGUGGCUUGUGGAAUUUUCUGAAGAUUGAGAAAAAUGUGAAAAAAACUUCACAAGGUGAAAACUCAAAGGUCGGAGGCAAAUUUGGAGAUUCCAAAAAUUUCAAACCCACCAAAGGCAUGGAGAGACAGAUCCAAAGUUUUUUUCUAAUCAAUUUUGAUAUAUGGAACGUUGAAAUCGAAGUUCGGAUGUGAAAGUUAUGGCUGUUUUACGAACGGACUCCAAAUUAGAGGACAAAACGGUCCGAAAGUAGGAAAAAUUUGCGGCAAUGGCUAGAAAUUGAUGGAAACGGUGAGGAAAAACAUAUGAACUGGACUCUAACAAGACCUAACCAACAAUAAGGCCUCGACCAGGACACAACUCAACAUUGUGGACUCUGAAACUGAAAUAUGCCAAGGCUAUGGCGCAGAAGGGUUGUAGGAUAGGAAAACGAUAUGGCACUGGACUUAUGGAACGAACACAAGAACACUCGAAACUAAGGGUAGAUGUCAACCUAAUGGUAUACCUGAAGCUUUGAUUACCACUUGAUGAGAACAAGGGAGGCCCAAUCUUCUGAAAGGUUCAGGUAACUCUCGAUUUGGUGGUGACGAGACACAAAUCGAUUCGGCUUCCAAACAACACGAUCCGAAACCCUACAAUUUUUUUAUUUUUUGAUAUUUUUCUUUUACUUCGGAGCAAUAAAGAAGUAAGCACAAAAAAAUUUAUGCUUAAACAAGUGAAAGACGUGGCCUGCAGAAUUUUCUGAAGAUUGCGAAAAAUGUGAAAAAAACUUCACAAGGUGAAAACUCAAAGGUCGGAGGCAAAUAUGGAGAUUCCAAAAUUUUCAAACCCACCAAAGGCAUGGAGAGACAGAUCCAAAAUUUUUUUCUAAUCAAUUUUGAUAUAUGGAACGUUGAAAUCAAAGUUCGGAUGUGAAAGUUCUGGCUGUUUUACGAACGGACUCCAAAUUAGAGGACAAAACGGUCCGAAAGUAGGAAAAAUUUGCGACAAUGGCUAGAAAUUGAUGGAAACGGUGGGAAAAAACAUAUGAACUGGACUCUAACAAGACCUAACCAACAAUAAGGCCUACAACUCAACAUUGUGGACUCUGAAACUGAAAUAUGCCAAGGCUAUGGCGCAGAAGGGUAGUAGGAUAGGAAAACGAUAUGGCAGUGGACUUAUGGGACGAACACAAGAACACUCGAAACUAAGGGUAGAUGUCAACCUAAUGGUAUACCUGAAGCUUUGAUUACCACUUGAUGAGAACAAGGGAGGCCCAAUCUUCUGAAAGGUUCAGGUAACUCUCGAUUUGGUGGUGACGAGACACAAAUCGAUUCGGCUUCCAAACAACACGAUCCGAAACCCUACAAUUUUUUUAUUUUUUGAUAUUUUUCUUUUACUUCGGAGCAAUAAAGAAGUAAGCACAGAAAAUUUAUGCUUAAACAUGUGAAAGACGUGGCCUGCAGAAUUUUCUGAAGAUUGCAAAAAAUGUGAAAAAAAACUUCACGAGGUGAAAACUCAAAGGUCGGAGGCAAAUUUGGAGAUUCUAAAAUUUUCAAACGCACGAAAGGCAUGGAGAGACAGAUCUGAAGUUUUUUCUGAUCGAUUUUGCUAUAUGGAACGUUGA
rnacentral:lncRNA from 1 species